rnacentral:rRNA from 1 species
UACGUAGGGUCCAAGCGUUAUCCGGAAUUAUUGGGCGUAAAGAGCUCGUAGGCGGUUCGUCACGUCGGCUGUGAAAAACCUGAGGCUCAACCUCAGGCCCGCAGUCGAUACGGGCGGACUUGAGUACUGCAGGGGAGACUGGAAUUCCUGGUGUAGCGGUGAAAUGCGCAGAUAUCAGGAGGAACACCGGUGGCGAAGGCGGGUCUCUGGGCAGUAACUGACGCUGAGGAGCGAAAGCGUGGGGGAGCGAACAGG